rnacentral:rRNA from 1 species
UACGUAGGGUGCAAGCGUUGUCCGGAAUUAUUGGGCGUAAAGAGCUCGUAGGUGGCCUGUCGCGUCGGCUGUGAAAACUCGGGGCUCAACUCCGAGCUUGCAGUCGAUACGGGCAGGCUAGAGUUCGGCAGGGGAGACUGGAAUUCCUGGUGUAGCGGUGAAAUGCGCAGAUAUCAGGAGGAACACCGGUGGCGAAGGCGGUUCUCUGGGCAUUACCUGACGCUGAGGAGCGAAAGUGUGGGGAGCGAACAGG